ensembl:lncRNA
UUGCAGAAGCAUUGCGAUAUUAUCAUAUGAGAUUCUCCAUGCAGUGAGUAUAUAAAGACACUUGAGAUGAUCUGAGACUCACUCCUUCAUCUGAACUGCUGAUUUCAUUAAUCUCAUCUGACAGACAGCAGCAUCUUCAGAGAACUGACAUCAUAUCGACUACAGCUUCUGGGUUUGAGGUGCAGUCAAGUGUGAAAGCAACUCUACUUACUUCUGACUUCUGAGUGUCUGCUGAAGACAGGAUUCAUGUGCAAGAGGACAAUUAAAAUAAGAUAAAAGCAACAAGACAUGGAUUUCAUCAAAAAACUGAAGGAUGUUCCCGAGAUGCUGAAUGAAGCUGCUGAUGGCAUGAAAGAAGCCAGCAGUAAAGUCAGCAAUGUCGCUGACUGCAUGAAAGAUACAAGUGACAAACUAAACAAAGUCAUGACUGGAGAGUCCAAGAAGAUAUUCAAGAAACCCAAAAAAAUCAUGCAGAGCAUUGCAGAUGGUUUUAAGAAAAAGCUUUAGAUGACUAAAACAAGUUUUCACAUAUUUCUAAUAUCAUCAAGUCCUGCUUCAGCAGCUGUAAUAUCAUGUUGGUGUAUGUGUGAUGUACUGUACUUCACUUGACUGACUUUCAUUAUUCUCUUAAGUGUAUGUUUAAAAAUCAGAAAAGUAAAAUGUAUAUUUCUGAAAGUCUGUGUUGUGCAUUCAUACAUUAGAGUCGUUUGAUGGACAAAUAAAUGCACUUAAAGUCUAGUGGAAAUAAAGUCUGGGCUCUUCACAGAGUCAAUGAUUGAUGGUUUAUGCAUACUACAAAUGUAAACAAGGACAUUAAUAAACAUGUUAAUAAAACAGCAUAACUGUAUUUCAUUUAAUGAAUGUAUUUCCUC